rnacentral:rRNA from 1 species
AUUGAACGCUGGCGGCAUGCUUUACACAUGCAAGUCGAACGGCAGCGCGGGCUUCGGCCUGGCGGCGAGUGGCGAACGGGUGAGUAAUGCAUCGGAACGUGCCCAGUAGUGGGGGAUAGCCCGGCGAAAGCCGGAUUAAUACCGCAUACGACCUGAGGGUGAAAGCGGGGGACCGAAAGGCCUCGCGCUAUUGGAGCGGCCGAUGUCGGAUUAGCUAGUUGGUGGGGUAAAGGCUUACCAAGGCGACGAUCCGUAGCUGGUCUGAGAGGACGACCAGCCACACUGGGACUGAGGCACGGCCCAGACUCCUACGGGAGGCAGCAGUGGGGAAUUUUGGACAAUGGGGGCAACCCUGAUCCAGCCAUGCCGCGGGCGGGAAGAAGGCCUUCGGGUUGUAAACCGCUUUUGUUCGGGAAGAAAUCCUCUGGGCUAAUACCCCGGGGGGAUGACGGUACCGGAAGAAUAAGCACCGGCUAACUACGUG